AUUGAACGCUGGCGGCAGGCCUAACACAUGCAAGUCGAACGAGGGGCGGACGGGAGUGUAAUGUCGGGGAAACUGCCUGAUGGAGGGGGAUAACUACGGGAAACGGUAGAUAAUACCGCAUACCAUCGGAUGUGCACAGAUGGGAUAAGCUAGUAGGUGGGGUAACGGCUCACCUAGGCGACGAUCCCUAGCUGGUCUGAGAGGAUGACCAGCCACACUGGAACUGAGACACGGUCCAGACUCCUACGGGAGGCAGCAGUGGGGAAUAUUGCACAAUGGGCGCAAGCCUGAUGCAGCCAUGCCGCGUGUAUGAAGAAGGCCUUCGGGUUGUAAAGUACUUUCAGCGGGGAGGCGUUACCCGCAGAAGAAGCACCGGCUAACUCCGUGCCAGCAGCCGCGGUAAUAC
rnacentral:rRNA from 1 species